CACAGGACGGUCGCAGAACGCGACCUUCUCUUCGGAGCUUGGAACACAGGUGCUGCAUGGCUGUCGCCAGUCUCGUGUCGUGAGAUGUUGGGUUAAGUCCCGCAACGAGCGCAACCCUCGUCUCUAGUUGCCAUCAUUUAGUUGGGCACUCUAGAGAGACUGCCGGUGAUAAGCCGCGAGGAAGGUGGGGAUGACGUCAAGUCCUCAUGGCCCUUACGGGCUGGGCUACACACGUGCUACAAUGGCGGUGACAAUGGGCAGCGAACCAGCAAUGGGGAGCUAAUCUCAAAAAGCCGUCUCAGUUCGGAUUGCACUCUGCAACUCGAGUGCAUGAAGUUGGAAUCGCUAGUAAUCGUGGAUCAGCAUGCCACGGUGAAUACGUUCCCGGGCCUUGUACACACCG
rnacentral:rRNA from 1 species